rnacentral:rRNA from 1 species
UACGUAGGGGGCAAGCGUUGUCCGGAUUUAUUGGGCGUAAAGAGCGUGUAGGCGGCCAAGCAGGUCCGCUGUGAAAACUCGAGGCUCAACCUCGAGACGUCGGUGGAAACCGUUUGGCUAGAGUCCGGAAGAGGAGAGUGGAAUUCCCGGUGUAGCGGUGAAAUGCGCAGAUAUCAGGAGGAACACCAAUGGCGAAGGCGGCUCACUGGUCCGGUACUGACGCUGAGGUGCGAAAGCGUGGGGAGCAAACAGG